GGCGAACGCUGGCGGUGUGCUUAACACAUGCAAGUCGAACGGUAAGGCCCUUUCGGGGGUACACGAGUGGCGAACGGGUGCGUAACACGUGAGUAACCUGCCCUCAUCUCUGGGAUAACAGUCGGAAACGGUUGCUAAUACUGGAUAUGAGCUUGCAAGGCAUCUUGUGGGUUGGAAAGAUUUUUUUGGUUGGGGAUGGACUCGCGGCCUAUCAGCUUGUUGGUGAGGUAGUGGCUCACCAAGGCUUCGACGGGUAGCCGGCCUGAGAGGGCGACCGGCCACAUUGGGACUGGGAUACGGCCCAAACUCCUACGGGAGGCAGCAGUGGGGAAUAUUGCACAAUGGACGGAAGUCUGAUGCAGCAACGCCGCGUGCGGGAUGACGGCCUUCGGGUUGGAAACCGCUUUCAACUGUGACGAAGCUUUUUGUGACGGUAGCAGUAGAAGAAGCACCGGCUAACUACGUG
rnacentral:rRNA from 1 species